rnacentral:rRNA from 1 species
UACGGAGGGUGCAAGCGUUAUCCGGAUUCACUGGGUUUAAAGGGUGCGUAGGUGGGUCUGUAAGUCCGUGGUGAAAUCUCCGAGCUUAACUUGGAAACUGCCAUGGAUACUAUAGGUCUUGAAUACUGUGGAGGCUAGCGGAAUAUGUCAUGUAGCGGUGAAAUGCUUAGAUAUGACAUAGAACACCAAUUGCGAAGGCAGCUGGCUACACAAAUAUUGACACUGAGGCACGAAAGCGUGGGGAUCAAACAGG